rnacentral:tRNA from 1 species
GGGGCCAUAGCUCAGUUGGGAGAGCGUCUGGCUGGCAGCCAGAAGGUCACGGGUUCGAGUCCCGUUGGCUCCAUCA